UAUGCAUCAAUACGUAUGAGCCAUAUAUAUGAUAGUGAUAUAACUUGAUAUCGUUAUGUGGUUAAUUAAUGUUUCGUACUCCUGAUGAUGGAGGCUGCAUUGUUUGUGUGGUGCUACUAGAGCUACUAGCUUGCGAAGAUAAAAGAGACAAAUAAAGAAAAACAGAGAGAGAGAGAGAGAGAGAGAGAGAGAGAUAUACAGAAGCGGUGGUUGAGAUUCUUAACGUUAGAUCGUUCUUCCACCUCAAAGCGAUCCAAGAGGACAGGCCACAGUUAGACGAGUAGACAGACAGAAAGACAGACAAGAAGACAGAUAGAGAGACAGAUAAAGACUUGAUUGAUAAGCCACCACAAACUAGAAUUUUGUGAACUGACUUUCUGUAUAGGCUUUCAUACAACAUAGCAAAAGUAUAACAACAAAAACCAGAAAGGAAGAGACGACCAUGAGAUAGUGGAGGAACAAGAGAAAAAAAGAGAGAAAAAAGAACAAAAACAUUAAAGAUAUAACACAAAACAAGACAAG